AGUCAAUAGAUACCCCGGUAGUCCAUGCCGUAAACGAUGAUUGCUAGGUGUGGGGGGUCUGACCCCUUCCGUGCCGGAGUUAAACACAAAUAAGCAAUCCACCUGGGGAGUACGGCCGCAAGGUUGAAACUCAAAGGAAUUGACGGGGGCCCGCACAAGCAGUGGAGUAUGUGGUUUAAUUCGAAGCAACGCGAAGAACCUUACCAGGUCUUGACAUCCACCGAAUCCUGUAGAGAUACGGGAGUGCCCUUCGGGGAACGGUGAGACAGGUGGUGCAUGGUUGUCGUCAGCUCGUGUCGUGAGAUGUUGGGUUAAGUCCCGCAACGAGCGCAACCCUUGUGAAUAGUUGCUACGAAAGAGCACUCUAUUCAGACCGCCGUUGACAAAACGGAGGAAGGUGGGGAUGACGUCAAAUCAUCAUGCCCCUUAUGACCUGGGCUACACACGUACUACAAUGGCCGUUAACAGAGGGAUGCAAUGCCGCGAGGUGAGCGAACCCCUAAAAACGGUCUCAGUUCAGAUUGCAGGCUGAAACUCG
rnacentral:rRNA from 1 species